GUAGGGAAUCUUCCACAAUGGACGCAAGUCUGAUGGAGCAACGCCGCGUGAGUGAAGAAGGCUUUCGGGUCGUAAAACUCUGUUAUUGAAGAAGAACGUGUGUGACAGUAACUGGUCAUGCAGUGACGGUAUUCAAUCAGAAAGUCACGGCUAACUACGUGCCAGCAGCCGCGGUAAUACGUAGGUGGCAAGCGUUGUCCGGAUUUAUUGGGCGUAAAGCGAGUGCAGGCGGUCUUUUAAGUCUGAUGUGAAAGCCUUCGGCUUAACCGAAGAAGGGCAUCGGAAACUGGGAGACUUGAGUG
rnacentral:rRNA from 1 species